rnacentral:tRNA from 1 species
UAAGUUUUAGGUUAAAUAAACUUCUAGCCUUCAAAGUUAGAGAUAAGAAAAUUUAA